rnacentral:rRNA from 1 species
UACGAAGGUGGCAAGCGUUGUUCGGAUUUACUGGGCGUACAGGGAGCGUAGGCGGUUGGGUAAGCCCUCCGUGAAAUCCCCCGGGCUUAACCUGGGAACUGCGUUUGAAACUGGAAGGCUUGAGUGUGGCAGAGGGGGGUGGAAUUCCACGUGUAGCAGGUGGAAAUGCGUAGAUAUGAUGGAGGAACACCGAUGGCGGAAGGCAGCCCCCUGGGCUAACACUGACGCCUCGAUGCACGAAAGCGUGGGGAGCAAACAGG